rnacentral:rRNA from 1 species
GAUGAACGCUGGCGGCGUGCCUAAUACAUGCAAGUCGAGCGAACAGACGAGGAGCUUGCUCCUCUGACGUUAGCGGCGGACGGGUGAGUAACACGUGGAUAACCUACCUAUAAGACUGGGAUAACUUCGGGAAACCGGAGCUAAUACCGGAUAAUAUAUUGAACCGCAUGGUUCAAUAGUGAAAGACGGUUUUGCUGUCACUUAUAGAUGGAUCCGCGCCGCAUUAGCUAGUUGGUAAGGUAACGGCUUACCAAGGCAACGAUGCGUAGCCGACCUGAGAGGGUGAUCGGCCACACUGGAACUGAGACACGGUCCAGACUCCUACGGGAGGCAGCAGUAGGGAAUCUUCGCAAUGGGCGAAAGCCUGACGGAGCAACGCCGCGUGAGUGAUGAAGGUCUUCGGAUCGUAAAACUCUGUUAUUAGGGAAGAACAAAUGUGUAAGUAACUAUGCACGUCUUGACGGUACCUAAUCAGAAAGCCACGGCUAACUACGUG